UCUGUUGGCUCUGAAACAGGAGUUAUGACUCCUUUAUUAGUCAUGUUGUCCAGUUCAGCUUUUACACGAUCCUGCAUUGCCAAGGGGAUGCGGUGUGCUGGGCGAACAACUGGCUGAACAGCUGGAUCCAAUGUCAUCGAGUAGGUGGUUGGCAGUUCUCCUAGUUCAUCACUGAACACAUCCCUGUAAUGUUCUUUGAUAUGUUCUACAAAGUCCAAUUUGGUCUCUGUGCUGAUCUGAUGAACAUGAGGACUCAAAGUAACCAGUCCAAGACGCAAACAUGCACGAAAUCCCAAUAGUGGUGUGACGUCACGGUCAACCAGGAAGAAAGGUAGUGUGUGUUGCUCUCCAUUUAGAUAGCAAGGCAGUGUGACAGAACCUGCAGUUUCUAUUUUGCUGCCUCCGUAUGCCAUUAGUUUGUGGUCUUGCCAGGUGGUGAGAUGGUCGCGCCUGACAACUGCUGGCACUCAGGGUCUUCUCUGGACUCGGCUGGGACCAGAACGGCUCCAUUGUCUCCUGGCGCCCUAACUUCUGCCGCGUAGACAAAUGAACGCUCCCGCUCGAUGGCUUCUGCUCCUGCGAGAUUGAGGAGGAUAUAUGCCUUUGUCUUGGGAGGCUUGUCGGCGUGAGCAGCUUCGAUGAAGAUAUCAUACUCCCUGUCGAACACGUGCCAACUCUCAGCGACGUCUCCUUCAAAAACGAGCGGGUCCGGUCGGCGAAAUCCCUCUGCCAUGGCUCGUUAGCAACCGCUUUAAGUCGAUGUCCAACGCUCGACAAAAAACUUGCUGGAAAAUGCAAAAAAAAAAAAAACUCACAACAGGCAGGUCUGAAGAUCUUCUGACACCAUGUUGAAAUGAGUAUAUGAGGUUGUUUUGCAGUCAACAGAAGCUUUAUUUGAACUCAGGGCAGCAGCAUUACACUGUGAUCCACUGGGAUAAGGUAAGUAGAGCACUGGUAAGUACGGCAAGUGACUUAGGACACAUCUGAGAUGCAUUCAUCUGAAUGAUCUACAGUAACAAACACACAACUAUGCAGCGAUUUUUGAAAAGAAAAAACUGCAAUUUCAACAGGUCUGUGUGGCCUGAAUCAUAGCCAUGUUAGUAAGGUUUUUAACAAACCAAACCGUUUGUAAAUCUGUCAAGAAUUCAGCAAGUUAAGUGUAUUUUUGUUUGUGUAGUCGCUCACCUUCCAUCCACUACUAUAGAGCGCUCCAGAACAGUCCCCCUCGGUAAGAUGGCCGACCGGUGACGACGGCGGUGAAAGUCCCAUCAGCCAUCUAGCCUUUCUAUGUAUUCACCUUAUUUUGCAGCUUCACCAGGGCGGCGCCACAUUACAGCAUUUUGUCCUGUGAUUUCCACUUCAGACCGGAGGUGCAGUUGUCAACAAAAGGAACGAGCGGUGUAAGCUAACCAGCUAGCGAUUUUAUUUCAUCAAGAUGUCGAGGCUGCCAUAAUAACUGGGCCAAGAGGAGAGAGUUUUUGAAACAAACCUGUUUUGAACAUCAUGUGGAGAGAUGGGAGUGUUGUGGGGCUCCUUAUAAUCUACAUCCAAAGAUGAGGAGCACAUGCGGCUGUGGCUGAAAGCGCUAAACCUUAAGUGCCCACCGAAGCGCCCUUAUGUAUGUUUGUUUCAUUUUGUGGACAGAGAGCCGACAGAGGAGCACCCUUACCCCGAGAAAUGGCUCGGCUAUGAUGCUCCAGUAAAGAAGCCACGGCGGGCUUUGAAGAGGUUGUCAGAUACGGAUAUGACAGUCAGCGUCAAAGACGUUGUGAUGUGGAACCUCAGUGGGAGGAUCUGUCUGUCUCUGAACACAGCUAUGCAGCAAGAUCAUCACUCCAUCUGAAGCCCUGACAUCUGACAUCUUUACAGUAUAAUUUUAAUAAACCUAAACAUUUCUGA